CCUCUUUACAUUGGGAAUAUAAUCAACAUUGAUGCAUUGCUGCUCAAAUGGAACAACGAAGAUCAGGGUUCGAGUCCCCUAAUGACAAAGGUCCCUUGCAACACCUUUAGCUAACACUUGCUAAGCAUUUAAAAUUGAUUAUGUGGAGACUCUGGGUUGCAGCACUUGCGACUUGAUCAAUUAUGCUUGAAAACCGGAUGGGGGCGUGUACUUAUCCUGUCGCGCCCUCGUGCUGUCAUCAUUAAUGCAAGCCCAAGAAAUUAAAGUGAAUUCUGAUGUCGCUCGAAAAAGUUGCUGGCCGACGCUGUGGCGGCUUUUGGUGGUUGCUCAAAGGAUUUCAAGGACAACGAGCUACCACAUCAAGAACCUUAAUAUGCGCAUCCAUUCCUGCCAAGGAAUAAAAAUCAACUCACAUAAAACGCCGCUUAAUGCGCUUUUGUCAAUAAUCAAUUUUCACUGAGCCCUGCAAGCGCGCGUUUAAUAAUGCCAAUUUAUUUGCUCUCCGAAAGGGUUGACUGAAAAAACCAAACCAGACCAGAACAGAACAGAGCAGAGCAGACCGCCCGCCCCCACUCCAUAUGUGACUCCUGCACGUGUCUUCGUCUGGUGCACCCAAAUACCCGCAAUUUAUCUAUUUGAUUUUUUGGGCAUGUGACAUUGCGUCGCGUCUGAGCCCUGACAAAACUUUCGCUUUGGCUCGUUUCGCAAAGUUUAAUUCGCAGCUCGAGUCCUUUGGUUGGGGAAACGUGAAACGUGUCAAAUGCUCGAUCAGUUAAGCUGCGCUGCGUAUUAGCCCCGUGUGUGGCACAGAUUUGUCUAAUGCACGAUUAUAAACAGACUUAAGUGAGCCGAGCUAAGAGUUCAGCUGGCUAAAAAAGGGAGCUGAGCAGCUCCCAUCUAGUGGAACCGGAAGAAACACAAUUUGAUGCAUAAGCUGAUGCUUUUUUGAGCCGACCGACGUCGGGUAAUUUCCCCUAGUAAAUAUAUAUGUAUGUAUGUACAUAUAUGUUCAUAUGUAACUAGAGUAUGUUUGCAUUGUCUCUGCAUAUGCCUUAUACUUGCAAAAAUAUAUACACAGAUUCUUGAGCAUCUGGAACAUUGAUGUCUCAAUAAAUGGAAUUGCUGUGUAGAGAUGUAGAGAUCACAUUGAUCAUUGACAAAGUGUGGCAAGCAUUGUUGCAGCCACCGUUUGUUACAUGCCACCCAGUUUGUAUGCCUACGAUCCUCAAGUGGCCCGUGGUCCAUUGAUAAUGGCUGUGUGGACACGAUGCCAGCCAGCAUCAUUUGCAGGUGACAAAGCAACUUUGUCGACUCCAGGACUUCAUUUGCCAGCUGACCACACGCACUGCUCCGGGGCAAACCUAAUGAGAACAAUUAGUGCAAAUUUUUGGCUGCAUUUGCUGUGUUUUCUUUCAAAUUUUUUCUCUUUUUUUUUUUUGCAUUUUAUUCUUCCUCUGGUUUUUGUGUGGACUGUGUUUUUGUGAAUGGUGCCGGAGCGAGCUGAGCCAACCCAAGGAGCGUUUCUCAUUUACGGGGUCGAACGACGGGAGACUUUGCCCGUGCGGCAAGUGCAUCGCGCUCUCGACUCGGCUCAACGGCGACAACAUAAUCAGCAGCAGCAGCAGCAGCGGCAGCGGCCGUUUCAGCGGGCACUUCGGGGCAGCAGGGUGCAGUGCGUCCGCUGUGAAAGACGCUGGAGGCCAUUUGCCACAGUGGCGCGGGGCAGCAGCGUGCGGAGAAGCGUGAAAAGGCAGGAGCGGCAGCAAGUCUCGAAUUCUACAAAGCCAGAGCAGGACCAAAACAGAGAGAGAGAGAGAGAGAGAGACAAAGAGGGAGGCAGGACUGGCGGGGUAGCGAAGCAUGCACAAAUGGCUGAAAAAUUGCACGCCAGGAUGCUAAAGGAUGUGGCACGUCACUCGGCACAGACACUUCAAUUAUGAGAAAGCUCGAGUUGCAUUGUUUUGAGUUUCCUUUUUUUCCGUUGUGUUUUCCUUAAAAAGCAAGCAACAAUUUUAUGACGCGUGCAGGCGAAUUUAUGAUAGGGAUCACAACAGAGAUUAUGUAACCUGGAAAUUGGAGAAAAGCAGAAAUUUCGGCCUUUCGGCUGAGCCGAAGAAAACAUCGGGAUCUGUUCACUUUACCAUGACGAGAAAAUGUCCAGCGAAAUAAUUAUAUUCCGCUUCAUACUGCUGCAUGGCAAAUAUUUAGGUAAUUUACGAAAUUGUAUUUUCGAAGGCAACUAGAAGAAGAUUUCGGUUCCAGCUCCAGGCUAAGGCAUGGUUGCAGUAAUAUCUUAGAGUAGGGCUAUAGACGCCAGUGCUAUU